AAGUCGUAACAAGGUUUCCGUAGGUGAACCUGCGGAAGGAUCAUUAAUGAAUGAUAUAUAACUAUAAAAUAAUAAUAUAUAUAUGUAAUGUACUAUAUAUUAUUAUAUUAUAUACACACACUUGUGAACUGUUUUAAUUAUAUUCAGCAUUUGCCUGAAAUUGAUGAACUGUGGUUCAACACAUUUUAGGCAAACGUUGAAGUAAACAAACACUCUUUUGUAAUGGUAGACUAAAGGCCUCAUAUAUAAUAAUUAUAUAUACAACUUUUAACAAUGGAUCUCUUGGCUCCU
rnacentral:misc_RNA from 1 species